ACAGAUGAAAGGUUCCAAAGUUCCAGUACAUGAGAGCGUACAGGAGCGUCAGAUCAUUUUGGAGGUCAGUGAAACUCAAUGAUAAGGCAAAGUGGCAUUUACUAGCAAGUCAGCUGUCCAGAAGAAUGGUACCCAUCUGAGAUAAUAUAGUGGAUACCCACAAUGCACUUAAUAUAGAGAAUGAGAGAACGAGGAAAAUUGAAUAUUGGAAAGCAACGGUUUGUAUAAGACAAACCCACAUCCCUAUUUCCUUUAAGGUCAAAGAAUGAACUAGGCGACACUCUACCAAGAAACGAUAAAGCAGGAAAUGAAGAUCCUAACAUAGCUGAGGAUAUCAUCAUUGUAUCUAAUACGGUUUUAUUGACAAAACUAUACAGAUCUUAAAACAUACACACACACAAAACCUCAUAACUGCACAAAUGGCAUAUUAUUACUCUUUUUAACAUCUCUAUCUGAAUUAGAAUUACUAGGCCUUCAGAUAGUUCUGCUGGAACAGAUGUGACUGAAGAAUUUUAAAGCUUCUAUUUGCCAGUCUGACUACUUACCAUAUCCUCACCAAACCUCACCAACUGAUUACACCCUCUCCCAGCAGGCACUAAUUAAAACAGGACUUGUGCAAAGAGGAAAAGGCAGCAACCUCCCUCCCAGGCCAUGCUGUUGGGAACGAUAAAAACGAUAGGAAAACAAGACUAAUAAACGGAGCAUCCCAAAUUUACAAGAACAGUUUACAGGGCAAGAGAUAUAAAUCACAGCCUGAUUGCCAAAAGUGCUUCAGUUUUUAUCCCCAUUUGAUCCAAAGGCCUGAGUAAUUGGCCAUGAUGCAGGGACACCAUCUAAUGAAAUGUUUUAAUCGGGGAAGGGAGGCUGAGUCGGCUGCUACUAUCAAAAUGGCUCGUUGGAUUCCAGUGACUCACUAAAACUUUUAACACGAUCAAUUAUUUUUUUCAAAAAACAUUCCCCAGUCUGACUCGAGCACCUACCACCUGCUUUUCCAGUGUUAGGCUAUUCCUUUUCCUGUCCAAUUUAGAAACAACUCUGUCUCCCUAAGUGUACCACAAAAACCUGUGCGCUGCAUACUGAAUAAUCCUGGCACAUCAAUUCGGCAUGACACAAAUUCGCAGAGUGGACUGUUUUGCACAGGGCUAUUGUCCACAAACCAUUAUUUGUCAAAAAAACAAACAAAAGGAGUACAUCGCAGAGACUUUUACAUGAUACUUUCCCUGGUCCCUGAAAAUGUGAGAUAAUGAAUAAAAAUGUUCAUUACAGAA